rnacentral:rRNA from 1 species
GACGAACGCUGGCGGCGUGCCUAAUACAUGCAAGUAGGACGCAGUUGCGAAUGGGUGAGUAACACGUAGGUAACUACCUAUUAGAGGGGGAUAACUAUUUGAAACGAUACGUAAUACCGCAUACUAGUAGAUGGACCUGCGGUGUAUUGGGUAGUAGGAGGGGUAAUGGCCUACCUAGGCAACGAUACAUAGCCGACCUGAGAGGGGGAGCGGCCACACCGGGACGGAGACACUGCCCAGACUCCUACGGGAGGCAGCAGUAGGGAAGCUUCGGUAAUUGGGGGAACCCUGACCGAGCAACGCCGCGUGAGUGAAGAAGGUUUUCGGAUCGUAAAGCUCUGUUGUUAAGGAAGCGGUACUUAACCAGAAAGGGACGGCUAACUACGUGCCAGCCGCCGCGGUAAUAC